GACGAACGCUGGCGGCGUGCUUAACACAUGCAAGUCGAACGGAAAGGCCCCCAUCUUGGUGGGGGUGCUCGAGUUGCGAACUGGUGAGUAACACGUGGGUGAUCUGCCCUGUACUUCGGGAUAAGCUUGGGACACUGGGUCUACUACCGGAUAGGACCAUGGUUUAGUGUCUCAUGGUUGAAAGCUUAUUCUUUUGGUGCAUGAUCCGCUCGCGGCCUAUCAGCUUGUUGGUGGGGUAAUGGCCUACCAAGGCGUCGGCAGGUAGCCGGCCUGCGAGGAUGGACGGCCACAUUGGGACUCAGAUACGGCCCAGACUGCUAAGGGAGGCAGCAGGGGGGAAUAUUGCACAAUGGGCGCAAGCCUGAUGCAGCGACGCCGCGUGGGGGAUGACGGGCGUCGGGUUGUAAACUCCUUUCGUUAGGGACGAAGACGCACUUUUUUUGGGUGUGGUGACGGUACCUUUGUUAAGAAGCACCGGCUAACUACGUG
rnacentral:rRNA from 1 species